UACGAAGGGGGCUAGCGUUGUUCGGAAUUACUGGGCGUAAAGCGCGCGCAGGCGGUCUUCCAAGUCAGUGGUGAAAGCCUGGAGCUCAACUCCAGAACUGCCAUUGAAACUGUUGGACUUGAGUACGAGAGAGGUGAGUGGAAUUCCCAGUGUAGAGGUGAAAUUCGUAGAUAUUGGGAAGAACACCAGUGGCGAAGGCGGCUCACUGGCUCGUAACUGACGCUCAGGCGCGACAGCGUGGGGAUCAAAC
rnacentral:rRNA from 1 species